rnacentral:tRNA from 1 species
GGGCGAGUGGCGGAAUUGGUAGACGCGCUAGGUUCAGGGUCUAGUGACCGAGAGGUCGUGGGGGUUCGAGUCCCCCCUCGCCCA